AUUGAACGCUGGCGGCAGGCCUAACACAUGCAAGUCGAGCGGAUGAGGGAAGCUUGCUUCCUGAUUUAGCGGCGGACGGGUGAGUAAUGCCUAGGAAUCUGCCUAUUAGUGGGGGAUAACGUUCCGAAAGGAACGCUAAUACCGCAUACGUCCUACGGGAGAAAGUGGGGGAUCUUCGGACCUCACGCUAAUAGAUGAGCCUAGGUCGGAUUAGCUAGUUGGUGGGGUAACGGCUCACCAAGGCGACGAUCCGUAGCUGGUCUGAGAGGAUGAUCAGCCACACUGGAACUGAGACACGGUCCAGACUCCUACGGGAGGCAGCAGUGGGGAAUAUUGGCCAAUGGGCGAAAGCCUGAUCCAGCCAUGCCGCGUGUGUGAAGAAGGUCUUCGGAUUGUAAAGCACUUUAAGUUGGGAGGAAGAGUUGUAAGCUAAUAUCUUGCAGCUUUAACGUUACCAACAGAAUAAGCACCGGCUAACUCUGUGCCAGCCGCCGCCGUAACAC
rnacentral:rRNA from 1 species